UUAAGAUAACUGGCUUCGACGAGUGCAUGGAAAAAAGAGGCAUUUAAAAAAAAUAUUAAAAGGGCUUCUACAAGGCUGAAUCUGCAAUUGUCAAGGAGCCACACUGACGAAACUACAAGUGGACUCUGCCAUUGCCCAAGGCUCAUUGCUCUUCAUCGACCUCAUGGGUGUCGAAACAAUGGAUGAUGUAUCAGGUACGGCGUCAACAACCCAGGAGGAGAUGAAGAGCGGGAGCAAAACGCUCUCAUAUUUGAGAGCGUUUCUCGAGGAUGUGGCCAGCAAGGGUUCCAGCACAUCUUAUCAGAACAGCAAAUGGACCCAAUAUUUACAAGAGAUAAAGAGGACGACUCCAGCAAUGAAGAUGCAUGAACUCCAGCCAUUUUAUCAAACCUGCAAAAAAUCUAGCAGAAUAACUAUGUAUUUUA